UGCGGAUGCUGACAGCUACGCGAAAACGCACCAAACUCCACAACAACCUCACCAAGCAGGCGCUGAUGCGACUACGUUCAGGAGCGCGCCAUGGCAGUCAGCCAGCAGUCUGACAUGUUUCCUGGUAGUUAGAAGAAGGAUGUUCGGCGCUGCGCUAAGACGGUAAACUCUCUUUGCGAAGGCGUGCUUUAGCUAUCGCAAAAUAUCAUUCCUUACCACCGCUAAGCGAGCACAGGCCCCUGUACGGAACUUUAACCUAUUUCGUGGAAGACGCUCUGCUGACUUAUAGUUUACUGAACGAAGCAAGCGAAGGGAAGUAUCUUCGCAGACAUCUUAAAUAACUGUAAAUAUGGUAGUUGUGAAUAAGUAGUUGCUUUAAUUCUUGCUUGUAACUGUAUCGUUCAAGUUCGUCAUGCUCAAUGAUAAAUGAUAAUGGUCCGCAUUUACUUCUCGGAAGACACCGGGCGACUUCCUUCCUCUCUUUCUUCAUUUUUUUUUGCGUACGCAUAACGUGUAGUUGUGAGGGAUAUAGUUGCGCAACAGCUCUGUUUCGCGAACGAAAGCCGAGAUGGCGCCCGAGAACGUACGCAGGUAUACACGGUUGCGCAAGGGACAGUACCCCGAAACCCAUGCCUUACACUUUCACCCUCCUCCCCCAUCGAGCCGCAAAACACAUUUGACGAGUCUAUACUUGUAAGCUGAACCAGUGUUCAAGCCUGACCAAUACGAAAGACAAACAACUGUGUCUCGGUGUUCCGGCUCCCCUUGGUGUCUCGGAAGACGAUGCCGGGAGGACGAGCGGUUCUUGAUGUUACAAAUGAUGGAAUCGCUUUCUCCCUGGCCGCCUGGUGACCUAUAGGCUUGGAGUGUCCCGAUCGAAUGUCGCGACGAAC
rnacentral:lncRNA from 1 species